rnacentral:tRNA from 1 species
UGGGGUACAGUUCAGUGGUGAAGUGCAUGCUUAACAUGCAUGAGGCCCUGGGUUCCAUCCCCAGCACCCAAA